CUGGUUGCCAAGAUGGUGUGCUAUGUGUGUGGGACUUGAUACGGGGUGCCUGUAUGUACAAAAUUGAAGCCCAUGACGACAUGACGUCGCACUUGCCUGUUCCCCGAGUUACGCAAUAUCGCUCGGACUGAACGAACGAAUACGGUUUUGGGAUAGAUUUCAGGGUCAGCCGCUCAACACCAUGACCGUCAGUCAUGCAUAUUCAUCGCUUGUGAUGCUGACGCUUCUGAACGAAGCCAUUGCUAGCACGAGUUUUUGAUUUGGAAGGAUAGUUGCUGAGGACCAUUCUCACAAUAAGUUUAUAAUAUCCAUUACAUGAUCAAAUGCGCUGAUGGGUUAGGCGUUGGAUUCGGCUAUAUUCCAUCGUCAUUGAAGCUAGAUCAUAGAAUCAUGUUAAUUUGACAGACUG